rnacentral:rRNA from 1 species
UACGUAGGGGGCUAGCGUUGUCCGGAUUUAUUGGGCGUAAAGAGCGUGUAGGCGGCUGGGUAGGUCCGUUGUGAAAACUCGAGGCUCAACCUCGAGACGCCGAUGGAAACCCCCCAGCUAGAGUCCGGAAGAGGAGAGUGGAACUCCUGGUGUAGCGGUGAAAUGCGCAGAUAUCAGGAAGAACACCCGUGGCUAAGGCGGCUCUCUAGUACGGUACUGACGCUGAGACGCGAAAGCGUGGGGAGCGAACAGG